rnacentral:rRNA from 1 species
AUACUCCCCUGAAUGUGCCUAAUCUCAUCUGAUCUCAGAAACUAAUUAGGGUUGGGUCUGGUUAGUACUUGGAUGAGAGAGAUGGAAAAUUACUUAUAAAUAAGAGUCAAGUGGAAAUGCUGAGA